ACAGUGGGGAGACGAGGAGCAAACAUCAUCGCUGAGUGACGACGAUAAGUCGUGUGUGUGUGUGUGUAGCAGAGCCUGUUCUAGCAGAGCUACCCAUAUGUAAAUAUUUGAUGCCGUUUUGUUUGAGGUGGUGCUGCCGUUUUAUUACAUAUGUCUGGCAACUCCAAGCCCUUUUCAGCCCUUUGGUGAUGGUUCUUCUUUCCGACUAAUCCGAGUACUUAACUACUAGUGUUGUAUUUGCUCUUUUACUAUAUGAUCAUGGGACCAAGAACUUGUGUCUUGUAACGUUUGUGGUGGCAUGUUGUGAUCAUAGUAAGGCAAAAAUAAGAAUGGGUGUGUAAUGUAUUUUGUAUAGAUAUGCAUCUUGUAUUAUUCUUUUCUACUAGGAUGAGAUGGAUCAAUAUAUAUGCAUCGUGUUAUACAGUGGAGAGACGAGAAGCAAACAUCAUCAUUGAACGACGACGAUCAAUCGUGUUGUAACAGAGCCUGUACUACCAGAGUUACCAAUAUGUAAAUAUUUGAUGUCAUUUUGUGGGAGGUGGUGAUGUCGUUGAGGUUCAAUACAAAGUCGUAGCAACAAUGGGUUGGUCAGAGGAAAAGUUGGAAAAAAUGUUUUUUUCACCAUUUUUCAGUAUGACGAGAGAUGCCGCUGACGACUGAGAUGCUGCUGCCGGAGUGGGGACGAGAUAUGCCGGUGCCGGUGUCGGAGUGGCUGGGGGGGGGGGGGGGNNNNNNNNNNNNNNNNNNNNNNNNNNNNNNNCGCCCUGCCACAGCAGCCUGGAGUACACUCCAUCGCUUAGAAAUGGCCCCUGUAGAUCGACGUCUGAGAACUACGAAACACCGAUAGUGCUGUCGGGGGGUGGUGAAGCUUCCCCCCUCCCCAAUCUUCCAAUCCGGUUGUGCCCCCGCCAUCUUGUUCUCCAUCGGUGUUCCAGUGCUACAAGAUCAACGUGGAUGACGGCAUCCAUUUGGGCUCCGUCGAUUCUAUCGGUUGGGUCCUCUGCGACUCUUCAGGCUCCACCCUCCAUGCAGUCGGCACCUUUUAUGUUCCUUGGUACCGGUGGCUUCAUCGUCGGCGAAAUUAUUGAUGCUUAGGUUACCUUCUCCAUGUUUUUUAAAUAUCUUUAUAAAGUAUUAUCGAUAGUUCUCAUUUUCUGAAUUAAUACUUAAAUUUUAUCGUUUUUUAUCCAUUACGGACGAAGCAAUCUAAGAAAUGAAAACAUUACCGAUAAAUCUGCCGGCAGGCCGAUAAAUUGACUCCGGAGAGGCCCAUACUUAUGGGCUUGAAUCAAGAAGCCCACGUCACCUUAUUA
rnacentral:lncRNA from 1 species